rfam:Aedes albopictus isolate Foshan contig115452, whole genome shotgun sequence.
UAGCCUAGCGGUUAUGGCUAUGGAUCGCCAAUCCGGAGACGGCGGGUUCAAUUCCCGU